rnacentral:rRNA from 1 species
UGCAGUCGAACGAUGAAGCCCAGCUUGCUGGGUGGAUUAGUGGCGAACGGGUGAGUAACACGUGAGUAACCUGCCCUUGACUCUGGGAUAAGCACUGGAAACGGUGUCUAAUACCGGAUAUUUCAACUGACCGCAUGGUCUGGUUGUGGAAAGAAUUUUGGUCAAGGAUGGACUCGCGGCCUAUCAGGUAGUUGGUGAGGUAAUGGCUCACCAAGCCUACGACGGGUAGCCGGCCUGAGAGGGUGACCGGCCACACUGGGACUGAGACACGGCCCAGACUCCUACGGGAGGCAGCAGUGGGGAAUAUUGCACAAUGGGCGAAAGCCUGAUGCAGCAACGCCGCGUGAGGGACGACGGCCUUCGGGUUGUAAACCUCUUUUAGUAGGGAAGAAGCGAAAGUGACGGUACCUGCAGAAAAAGCACCGGCUAACUACGUGCCAGCAGCCGCGGUAAUACGUAGGGUGCAAGCGUUGUCCGGAAUUAUUGGGCGUAAAGAGCUCGUAGGCGGUUUGUCGCGUCUGCUGUGAAAACUGGAGGCUCAACCUCCAGCCUGCAGUGGGUACGGGCAGACUAGAGUGCGGUAGGGGAGAUUGGAAUUCCUGGUGUAGCGGUGGAAUGCGCAGAUAUCAGGAGGAACACCGAUGGCGAAGCAGAUCUCUGGGCCGUAACUGACGCUGAGGAGCGAAAGCAUGGGGAGCGAACAGAUA